rnacentral:lncRNA from 1 species
AAAGACUUAUAACCCCUCCUGUUUCCAAACUAAACGCUGCCUUAGAUAUCGUUUGGUUGGAGAAUAAGCAAAAAAUUAUUAUUCCAGGGAUAGAUAUAAAUUGAGAUAUAAGUGGGGAUUAGAUCAAUUUUACGUUUGGAUGAAAAUUAGGUUAUUCCUGAGAAUAAAAAAAAUAACGUUUGGUUAGGUAAGAUGGAAUAAGAAAAAUAGUGGGUUUUAUAAAUAAAAAAUUAUCACAUUAUCCUCUUAUUAUAUUUGAAUUUAAAUUUUUAAAAUUUUAAAUAUAUAUUUUUAAAUUUAAAAUUUUAACUUUGAAAUUUCAAAAUUUGAAAUUUAAAAUCUCAAAUUUUAAAUUCAAAAUUUUAAAUUUUAAAUUUUAAAUUUUAAAUUUAAGAUCAAAUUUAAAUUUGAAAAAUAUAAAAUAUCAAAUUUUAAAUUUCAAAAAUUUAAAAUAUCAAAUUU